UUUCCGUAGGUGAACCUGCGGAAGGAUCAUUAACACGAACAAAAUGUCCCAAAACCUUUUUGGAUCAACGCCAACCUUUGAAAAGGCGAACCUAGUUGUAUUUUUCUCCUUUUUCUAUUUUGUUUUUCUCAAACGCAACUUCUCAUGGAAAUUGACUAGAAUCGUGUGAUUUGUUCCAAUCCUAUCACCUCUUUCUCCUCUCCUCUCCUCUCCUCGUGAGAUGAGAUGGGAUGUGAGAUGGGAGAUGGGGGGUGGGUUUGGAACUAACCAUUCCUAACGCUAAAACAACUCUUAACAACGGAUAUCUUGGCUCUC
rnacentral:misc_RNA from 1 species